CCCUUAGAUGUUCUGGGCCGCACGCGCGCUACACUGACACACUCAACAAGCUUAUAACCUUGUCCGAGAGGUCUGGGAAAUCUUUGAAUAUGUGUCGUGAUGGGGAUAGAUCGUUGCAAUUCUCGAUCUUCAACGAGGAAUUCCUAGUAAACGCAGUUCAUCAGACUGCAUUGAUUACGUCCCUGCCCUUUGUACACACCGCCCGUCGCACCUACCGAUUGAAUGGUCCGGUGAGAAUUUUGGAUUGAUGUUUCGUCGGGUUAACGCCAGACUUUACGUUGAGAAGUUAUUCAAACCUUACCACUUGGAGGAAGGAGAAGUCGUAACA
rnacentral:rRNA from 1 species